rnacentral:rRNA from 1 species
GCGGCGUGCUUAACACAUGCAAGUCGAACGAUGAACCACUUCGGUGGGGAUUAGUGGCGAACGGGUGAGUAACACGUGGGCAAUCUGCCCUGCACUCUGGGACAAGCCCUGGAAACGGGGUCUAAUACCGGAUAUGACCCUCGCAGGCAUCUGUGAGGGUGUAAAGCUCCGGCGGUGCAGGAUGAGCCCGCGGCCUAUCAGCUUGUUGGUGAGGUAACGGCUCACCAAGGCGACGACGGGUAGCCGGCCUGAGAGGGCGACCGGCCACACUGGGACUGAGACACGGCCCAGACUCCUACGGGAGGCAGCAGUGGGGAAUAUUGCACAAUGGGCGAAAGCCUGAUGCAGCGACGCCGCGUGAGGGAUGACGGCCUUCGGGUUGUAAACCUCUUUCAGCAGGGAAGAAGCGAAAGUGACGGUACCUGCAGAAGAAGCGCCGGCUAACUACGUGCCAGCAGCCGCGGUAAUACGUAGGGCGCAAGCGUUGUCCGGAAUUAUUGGGCGUAAAGAGCUCGUAGGCGGCUUGUCGCGUCGGUUGUGAAAGCCCGGGGCUUAACCCCGGGUCUGCAGUCGAUACGGGCAGGCUAGAGUUCGGUAGGGGAGAUCGGAAUUCCUGGUGUAGCGGUGAAAUGCGCAGAUAUCAGGAGGAACACCGGUGGCGAAGGCGGAUCUCUGGGCCGAUACUGACGCUGAGGAGCGAAAGCGUGGGGAGCGAACAGGAUUAGAUACCCUGGUAGUCCACGCCGUAAACGGUGGGCACUAGGUGUGGGCGACAUUCCACGUCGUCCGUGCCGCAGCUAACGCAUUAAGUGCCCCGCCUGGGGAGUACGGCCGCAAGGCUAANACUCAAAGGAAUUGACGGGGG